AAACCAAAUAGAUUGAAUUAUACUUUUCGGUAAAAAGAUAGUUAAGUAGAUCUGAAGUCAAUUUAAUUUUUAUUAAGAAGUAGAAUUCAUAAAUGAUUUAGAAAUCUAAUAAUGACUAUAAAACUGAAGCUAUGAUAACUUUGGGGGAAACUGGGAUUAGAUACCCCACUAUUCUUAGAAGUAAAUAAACAAAUAGUUUGCCAGAGUACUAUGAACUAUUAAAUUUAAAACUCAAAGGGCUUGGCGGUGUUUUAGACUUUUUAGGGGAACCUGUCUCAUAAUCGAUAAUCCACGAUAUACCUGACUUUUAUUUGCCUUCAGUUUGUAUACCGUCGUCGUCAGGUAACUUUUUAGAAAAAAGAAGUUAGCAAUAAAGCAUUAUUAAUCUUUUACGUCAGAUCAAGGUGCAGCUAAUAUAAAAGUGAGGAUGGGUUACAAUUAUUAUAAUUAUAAAUACGAAAAUAAUAACUUGAAAAGUAAUAUGAAGGAGGACUUAAAAGUAAAAUGAACUAUAAAAACAUUUUGAAUACAGCUCUGAAACGUGC
rnacentral:rRNA from 1 species